ACUAUUUGUGGAGUAUAUACAUGCUACUAUAUAUUUUUUUUUUAAAAAAAACUCGGUAUCCGGCAUUAGGAAGAAGACUUGAAAAUAGUAUUGUGUUGUGCUAGGUUUAAUUUCCUUCCAAGUAAGGUUCUAUGGUUUGCAUAUACUUCAAUGGCUGCCACCAUUUUUUUUUUAAACGGUAAAUUUUACAUAAAUAUAUGGCAACUCAAAGCAUAAGAAAUGCAUAAGCCACUAAGUUUGGUAUAGUAGUGAGGGAUUUGGGUAGUAUGCAUGAGGUCUUAGGUUCGAUCCUCAUUGCCGACAUUGUAAACCAAAAAAAGCAUAAGAAAUGCAUUGUAAACCAAAAAAAGCAUAAGAAAUGCAUAAGUUGAAUGGAGUACACAAACGUAUAUGGCUGCAACAAGGCAGUCAAGGGAUCAGCAACUUAACACAAAAAACAACAGCAACACUAUAAUACACAANNCCAUUCGUAGAAGAGAUAAGGAGCAAUUUUCAAUCGCGCCACACUCCACCUCCAAGACAACACUUUUAUCUCCUCUACAAUAUCAAGAGGGUCCUUGACCACUGUUUACGUAGGAAUUUGGUAAACAACCGCUAGUUUAAGUAUUUAACCUCGAGAGAUCAACUAGUAAAUCUCAGGACAAUUUUGUGUUUUGUUUACUUAGAAAAAUGUUUGAGUGUUCGUCUAAAAAAUAUAACAAACACUUAAGAAUUAAAUCUUGCGCAAACAAUAAAAGAAAAAGCUAGUUCGAUUCGCCUCGAAACAGCAGUUUCAUGAACAGACAUCAAAUAAAACUAAAGAACA
rnacentral:lncRNA from 1 species